AACUCCUAAAAUCAGAGUAGAAUGGUGGUUUCCACCUCACAUCAGCCAGGGGCAAAACAACCCUGUGUUUAUCCCAGCUUGGCUUUUGGUGUGUGCCUAUGCCUGGUUCAGGCCUUGAACACAUGG
rnacentral:snoRNA from 1 species